AUUGAACGCUGGCGGCAUGCCUAACACAUGCAAGUCGAACGGUAACGCGGGGGCAACCCUGGCGACGAGUGGCGGACGGGUGAGUAAUACGUAGGAAUCUGCCCAUUUGUGGGGGAUAACCCGGCGAAAGCCGGGCUAAUACCGCAUACGCUCUACGGAGGAAAGCAGGGGAUCGUAAGACCUUGCGCUAAUGGAUGAGCCUACGUCGGAUUAGCUAGUUGGUAGGGUAACGGCCUACCAAGGCGACGAUCCGUAGCUGGUCUGAGAGGACGAUCAGCCACACUGGGACUGAGACACGGCCCAGACUCCUACGGGAGGCAGCAGUGGGGAAUAUUGGACAAUGGGGGCAACCCUGAUCCAGCAAUGCCGCGUGUGUGAAGAAGGCCUGCGGGUUGUAAAGCACUUUCAGAGGGGAAGAAAAAAUUGGAGCUAACACCUCCGAUCUUGACGUUACCCUUAGAAGAAGCACCGGCUAACUCCGUGCCAGCCGCCGCAGUAAAAC
rnacentral:rRNA from 1 species